rnacentral:sRNA from 1 species
UCUCGGGAGAUACCGUGAGUGGUACAUA